UGGGGAAUUUUGCACAAUGGGGGAAACCCUGAUGCAGCGACGCCGCGUGAUUUAGAAGGCCUUCGGGUUGUAAAAAUCUUUUGUAUGGGAAGAAAAUGACAGUACCAUACGAAUAAGGACCGGCUAAUUACGUGCCAGCAGCCGCGGUAAUACGUAAGGUCCGAGCGUUGUCCGGAAUCAUUGGGCGUAAAGGGUACGUAGGCGGAUAAGCAAGUUAGAAGUGAAAUCCUAUAGCUCAACUAUAGUAAGCUUUUAAAACUGCUCAUCUUGAGGUAUGGAAGGGAAAGUGGAAUUCCUAGUGUAGCGAUGAAAUGCGCAGAUAUUAGGAGGAGUACCGGUGGCGAAGGCGACUUUCUGGCCAUAUACUGACGCUGAGGUACGAAAGCGUGGGUAGCAAACAGG
rnacentral:rRNA from 1 species